CAAAAGUAGGUGCCAGGUUGCUGGUGAAUACGUUGGUUCCAAGCUUGAUCCGGAGUUAUUGGGCGUAAAGCGAGCGCAGACGGUUAUUUAAGUCUGAAGGUAAAGCCCUCAGCUCAACUGAGGAAUUGCUUUGGAAACUGGAUGACUUGAGUGCAGUAGAGGAAAGUGGAACUCCAUGUGUAGCGGUGAAAUGCGUAGAUAUAUGGAAGAACACCAGUGGCGAAGGCGGCUUUCUGGACUGUAACUGACGUUGAGGCUCGAAAGUGUGGGUAGCAAACAGGAUUAGAUACCCUUGUAGUC
rnacentral:rRNA from 1 species